AUAAUCGCUUGCUGUGAAACCCUUUUAGAGGUUGAAUGUUUCUGGCGUUUCAACCUUCUCUUUUGAGGAGAGAGGAGAAGAGGGAAGCUCCAUGUCAGAGUGAUGGGUCCCUGCAAGUCCGAGCUGCACAGCCGUGUGCUCCGGCCCCCAGCACAGGUGGGGGAUCCUGAGGAAGAAGCCGUGAAGGUAAAGUGACUUGUCUAAGGCCACGUGGCUUUCAGGAUCUUCCCAAAGGAGGUGACCUUACUCCGGGCUGUCUCCAUUCACCCUUCAUCUCUGUUGGACACAGUAACUGGGGACAGGACAGAGAGCAAAGCGAGGACCGUCCCAGGUGGUAACCCUGACGUGGUUCCUAGCCUCACAGGUGAACUGCUGUGUCUUCUCUUCGGGGCUCCCUCCUGCCAUGAUUGCGCCAGCCCCACACAGCUGUUCAUUUAACGUUUACCAGAUGGGGAAGCUGAGGCACAGGAGGUAAUGUAAUUUGCCAAAUUCAGCUCAUAACCAGAGCCAGGAUUUGAAACCAGAAGUCUGUGCUUCUGUCUCACCUUGGCUGCAAGAGCAGCGAGACUCGCUGCACAGCGCCCUCAGCAUCUAGGAAUUUGGUGGCCUGGUUACGAGAGGAGAAACCUACCAGGGCGUGUGGAUCAGGAGGAUGACCCCUCACUCAGCUUGUCAGUGGUCGAGAAGGCACAGGGCCCAGCAGCUGUGCCGUGUGGGCUCUGGAGCAACACCCAAGAGAAUCGGACCCAGACUCUGCCCUGAAGGGAGGGAGGGUGGUCCUGAAGGAGAGCAGCGCCCCAACUGGCUCUGAGCAUGCAGGCUGCUGGGGCCACGCCCUCGCAAUUUUGCAGCCACCGGGAAAGACAAGAAGAAAUUGGAGAUUAGGAAAGCAGGUCAGAGGAGGCCCCCUCUGUGAGCCCACUCCCAUCCCUGGGAGGGCAACUUCAGUAUCAGCAUGCGGGGCAGGCGAAGAAGCUGAGAUCAGAGCUCACAUGGAUGCUUGAGGCAAUGAGGGGCAGGGCGGGGGUGUGCGGGUCAGGAAGGGGCUUUUGCAGGUUGACUGAUGGGCUGAGGAGUGUGGCCUUUUUCCUCCUAGGUCAGUGUUUCUCAAACUUCCCCUCAAGCAAUACUGCCAUUCCAGGAGCUGGACCAGGGGUGGUAUCGUGAAAGGUGUGUAUAUUGUCCUGGUUUGCAGGAAAAAUUAAUAGAGUUUCUCCAAUUGUAGGUCUUUCUUACAAACUUUUUUCUAAAACUUGUUGCAGCUAUCCCUUCUUAAGAUUGUGAGCAGAUUGCAAAAUGAAUG